GGGGCGGUGGCGUAGUUGGGAGCGCGUCAGACUGAAGUUCACUUCAGCCAAGCAAAUCUGAAGGUCACCGGUUCGAUCCCGGUUCACCCCA
rnacentral:tRNA from 1 species